GUGUCAGCAGCCGCGGUAAUACGGAGGGUGCAAGCGUUAAUCGGAAUUACUGGGCGUAAAGCGCGCGUAGGCGGCUUGUUAAGUCGGAUGUGAAAUCCCCGGGCUCAACCUGGGAACUGCAUUCGAUACUGGCUGGCUAGAGUGUGGUAGAGGGAAGUGGAAUUCCAGGUGUAGCGGUGAAAUGCGUAGAUAUCUGGGGGAACAUCAGUGGCGAAGGCGGCUUCCUGGACCAACACUGACGCUGAGGCGCGAAAGCGUGGGGAGCAAACAGGAUUAGAAACCCGUGUAGUCC
rnacentral:rRNA from 1 species